rnacentral:ncRNA from 1 species
AUAAUUGCGAUGAGCAGGAAAAGUAACCUGAUCGGAUCUUUCUCAGAGAGCGGCAGUCACCGGCUGAAAGCUGCCGUGUCAGAAGUUUGGGUGAAGUUCCCCUGUGAGCUGAGGCGCUGAAGAUAUGAAGUAGGUGUCUCCGUAUUCUUCCCACGUUACGGGAAAACGAGCGCGCAGACAGAUUGUUCUGCGAAGCUAGGUGGUACCACGGAGUUAUGCGGCCUUCGUCCUAGAU